CGGGAGCUCUGAGACAGGUGCUGCAUGGCUGUCGUCAGCUCGUGGUGUGAAAUGGUGGGUUAAGUCCCGCAACCGGCGCAACCCUUGACCUUGUUUGCCAGCGAGUAAUGUCGGGAACUCCAGGGAGACUGCCGGUGAUAAACCGGAGGAAGGUGGGGACGACGUCAAGUCAUCAUGGCCCUUACGAGUAGGGCUACACACGUGCUACAAUGGCGCAUACAGAGGGCGGCAAACUUGCGAGAGUGAGCGAAUCCCAAAAAGUGCGUCGUAGUCCGGAUUGGAGUCUGCAACUCGACUCCAUGAAGUCGGAAUCGCUAGUAAUCGUAGAUCAGAAUGCUACGGUGAAUACGUUCCCGGGCCUUGUACACACCGCCCGUCACACCAUGGGAGUGGGCUGCAAAAGAAGUGGGUAGUGUAACAUUCGGGAGGACGCUCACCACUUUGUGGUUCAUGACUGGGGUGAAGUCGUAACAAGGUAGCCCUAGGGGAACCUGAGGCUGGAU
rnacentral:rRNA from 1 species